rnacentral:rRNA from 1 species
GGGCCCGCACAAGCGGUGGAGCAUGUGGUUUAAUUCGAUGAUACGCGAGGAACCUUACCAGGGCUUAAAUGUUAGGUGACAGAUCUAGAAAUAGAUUUUUCUUCGGACACUUAACAAGGUGCUGCAUGGUUGUCGUCAGCUCGUGCCGUGAGGUGUCAGGUUAAGUCCUAUAACGAGCGCAACCCCUGUUGUUAGUUGCCAGCGAGUAAUGUCGGGAACUCUAGCAAGACUGCCAGUGCAAACUGUGAGGAAGGUGGGGAUGACGUCAAAUCAUCACGGCCCUUACGUCCUGGGCUACACACGUGCUACAAUGGUAUCUACAACAGGAAGCAAGACGGCGACGUUAAG